AGGGAAGGGGUCCCCUUCCGUGCCCGGAGCUGGGAGCCGGGGCAGCCCUCGCCAGCGCCGCGCCCUCCCCAAGGCCCGAGGGAGGCGCCGCGGGAGGAAUUCCAGCCAUUUCCUCUGCGCCGCGCGGUAUGUGGCCUGCUCGCUGCCCGACCGCAGCGCGGCCCGGAGGUGGGGGCCGGCGGCGCGGGCCCGUCACCAGCAGCGUCUGGCAACUGCCCCGGCCUCGCCGUCCCGCUCCAGAUUCACGGCUGGCCGCCCCUCGUCCCGGGCGACCAAACCGGCCCUGGAGCUGCCCCGGGUCGGCGCGGCGCUGCUGGGACCCCGGCUCCUCCCCGCGCGGCCGCAGCCGGCGUAAUCGCUCCCGCCCCACGCCCGCCUGCCUCCUCCGUCCUCGCCGCGCACCCUAACCCGCGGGUCCCCCGAAUCUCAGUUUGAAACUGAAGGUGGCCUUUGCUACGUCACCUUGGGGUAUCGCUGCUGUCCUCAGCUCUCCUGGAUCUUCCGCCCACCCUGCCCAGGGCCUCUUCUCCAUACUAAUUCUUGGUGGAGCAGUCGGGGCGGCUUUACAGGGGCAUCCUCAGCUACACCUUUCAUCAUAAGGAACGUAUGUGCAUUGAUGGAGCUCACCUAGUGCCAAGAGAGUGGCAAAAGGCAUUGAAAUAAGAAGCAGCUUCCUGCCAGCGGCAAGUACCUCUUGGUGGAGGUUGGAGCCAUGUCGAUGCUGUCCUACUUGUCGAGGCCGGCGUGUGCUGACGGCACAGGGACUGACACUCUGGGCUCACAGCCCACAUGGAGCCAAGGGGGGAGGCUCUUUCGCUGAGGAGCCCAUGGUGACAUCAGAAGCUUGCUCCUCAGCUAACACCAGGAAGGCCACGCGUGUGAGCAGCCCGGCUUCUGAACCUGAUCCUGGCGUUGGUUAGACUCACCGGAUAAUAAAGAAAAAUGGGACUCUCUCUAGGGGAUUCUUUUUUUUUUUUUUGGUAAGCUGGGGCAUCUCUAAGGACAGUGUUUGGCACAAAAUGAAACACUCUCUGGGCUUUUCAGAAGUGCUUUUUCACAUCUGUUUUGCUCUAAAUGGAACGCAUUCGAAGUAUAUUACUUUCUUGAACAUUUUUUCCCCUGCUCGAGUGGAAUGUGUCUGCCUCUUGAUUCUUCCAAAUCCCCUCGAUGACCAGUGCCAGGCAGAGCCCCUGAAAUCAGGUCUCAUUCUCUCUCUUCCCCUCUCGACCUUUAUCUUGCUCUCUCCUUUCUCUCGCUUUUCUCAGGAAGUGGAGGAGUGAUUCUCA